CGCAUCUGUGCAUGCAGCAUAUCAAUAAGCGGAGGAAAAGAAACUAACAAGGAUUCCCCUAGUAACGGCGAGUGAAGCGGGAAGAGCUCAAAUUUGAAAUCUUAAAGGGUUUCCCUUUACGAAUUGUAGUUUAAAGAAGUGUUUUCUGUUGAGGUUUUGGUAAAAGUUCUUUGGAAUAGGACAUCAUAGAGGGUGAGAAUCCCGUAUUUGACCUUUACUUUCAACUUUGUGAUACACUUUCAAAGAGUCGGGAUUGUUUGGGAAUGCAGUCCAAAAUGGGUGGUAAAUUUCAUCUAAAGCUAAAUAUUGGCGAGAGACCGAUAGCGAACAAGUAGCCGUGAGGGAAAGAUGAAAAGAACUUUGAAAAGAGAGUUAAACAGUACGUGAAAUUGUCAAAAGGGAAGCGUUUGACACCAGUGUUGUUUUUCUGAAAAUCAAUUAAAGAACUGUUUAUGCUAAGCUGUUUAGACUUUAUCAGCUAUCUGUUUAGUUUUGAGCUUUUCUUUAAUGCACUUUUCAGUUAACAAGUCAACAUCAAUUUCUUUUGCUGUAAAAAAGCUUGAGGAAGGUGGCUUGAGAUUCGUCUUAAGUGUUUAUAGCCUCUUGCCUAUGCAGUCGGAGAGAUUGAGGUACUGCAGCGUAGAUCCUUCGGGGCUAAAUGCAUUUGUGCUAAGUUAUAGCAUUUUAUAGACAACUUGUUGACUAUGAUUUGUCUUGUAGCUUACUCGCUUAUGUUAUUUUACCUACGCUUAGGAUGUUGAACGCGCACAGAGUCUC
rnacentral:rRNA from 1 species